UUCAACUUAUAGUACGCAUCUAUGAGGUUGUUAAGCAAAAAGGUUUCUGGGUUUGCAACGGUUUUGACUAUGCUAGCAUGUAGCCCUUUCGCUUGGUGUAAAUUACGAGUUUCGCAGCAUUGUUUCAGUAGCGAACAGUAGUGGUUGGAAAUGUGAGACAUUGUGCUUGUUUAAGGGCGGUUUUGACGGGAGAGUAUGUAGAGUAUUCAUUAAAUUAGCUUCAUAAGCCGAGAUUGUAGCAACAGAGAUUAUAGCAACAAUGGAGGAAAUUGUUUCAGUGAGGCUUAACUGUGUCUUACCCCAACUCUCUAGGAUUUCUAAACAGACAUUCCUAGACGAGUUAAUUUAAUCCC
rnacentral:lncRNA from 1 species